AUGGAGAAUGGCCGAUUCCCUGCAACGAGUGUACCAGUGACUUCGAAUUCCCCUGAGCUCUAUCAAGUCUCCAACAUAUCAGGUUCCGGGUAUAUUCACAUCAACCAUGCAAUGCAUGCGGUUAUUGAUAGACUGAAGAAUCAUGGUAUCCACUUCCGAGUAUUAACAAAAGCGUUACGUAUGUCUGAUGGAUAUCAUAUUCACUCUUGUACCGUAGUAGGUAAACUUGAGGGUGAAAGAGACAUAACUUUGGGCUUUGUUGAUUUAGUGCGUGAUGAUUUUGUUGAACAAGAUAGAAGUCGCUGUAUUUAUUUCUCUCAAGAUUGGAUGGGUCUCUUUACCAGGUGUUAUACCUGCGGCAUAGGAGGUAUUCACGUUUGGCAUAUGCCUACUCUGACGACAACUUUGGGGAUGAUUCUGUACUACAGUUCGGUGGAGGAACUUUAAAACAUCUUUGGGGUAAUGCGCCAGGUGCCUUAGCUAAUCGAGUAGCUCUGGAAGCAUGUAUAAAAGCUCGUAAUGAAGGACGUGAUCUUUCUCGAGAAGGUAAUGAGAUUAUUCGCGAGGCUUGCAAAUGGAGCCCGGAACUAGCUGUUGCUUAUGAGGUAUGGAAAGAGAUCGUAUUUAACUUUGCAGCAGUGGACGUGUUGGAUAAGUAAAAAUAGUAGACAUUAGCAGUUAAAUUA